GACGAACGCUGGCGGCGUGCUUAACACAUGCAAGUCGAACGGAAAGGCCCUGCUUUUGUGGGGUGCUCGAGUGGCGAACGGGUGAGUAACACGUGAGUAACCUGCCCUUGACUUUGGGAUAACUUCAGGAAACUGGGGCUAAUACCGGAUAGGAGCUCCUGCUGCAUGGUGGGGGUUGGAAAGUUUCGGCGGUUGGGGAUGGACUCGCGGCUUAUCAGCUUGUUGGUGGGGUAGUGGCUUACCAAGGCUUUGACGGGUAGCCGGCCUGAGAGGGUGACCGGCCACAUUGGGACUGAGAUACGGCCCAGACUCCUACGGGAGGCAGCAGUGGGGAAUAUUGCACAAUGGGCGGAAGCCUGAUGCAGCAACGCCGCGUGCGGGAUGACGGCCUUCGGGUUGUAAACCGCUUUCGCCUGUGACGAAGCGUGAGUGACGGUAAUGGGUAAAGAAGCACCGGCUAACUACGUGCCAGCAGCCGCGGUGAUACGUAGGGUGCGAGCGUUGUCCGGAUUUAUUGGGCGUAAAGGGCUCGUAGGUGGUUGAUCGCGUCGGAAGUGUAAUCUUGGGGCUUAACCCUGAGCGUGCUUUCGAUACGGGCUGACUUGAGGAAGGUAGGGGAGAAUGAAAUUCCUGGUGGAGCGGUGGAAUGCGCAGAUAUCAGGAGGAACACCAGUGGCGAAGGCGGUUCUCUGGGCCUUUCCUGACGCUGAGGAGCGAAAGCGUGGGGAGCGAACAGGCUUAGAUACCCUGGUAGUCCACGCUGUAAACGGUGGGUACUAGGUGUGGGGUCCAUUCCACGGGUUCCGUGCCGUAGCUAACGCUUUAAGUACCCCGCCUGGGGAGUACGGCCGCAAGGCUAAAACUCAAAGGAAUUGACGGGGCCCCGCACAAGCGGCGGAGCAUGCGGAUUAAUUCGAUGCAACGCGUAGAACCUUACCUGGGUUUGACAUGGAUCGGGAGUGCUCAGAGAUGGGUGUGCCUCUUUUGGGGUCGGUUCACAGGUGGUGCAUGGCUGUCGUCAGCUCGUGUCGUGAGAUGUUGGGUUAAGUCCCGCAACGAGCGCAACCCUUGUUCACUGUUGCCAGCACGUUAUGGUGGGGACUCAGUGGAGACCGCCGGGGUCAACUCGGAGGAAGGUGGGGAUGACGUCAAGUCAUCAUGCCCCUUAUGUCCAGGGCUUCACGCAUGCUACAAUGGCUGGUACAGAGAGUGGCGAGCCUGUGAGGGUGAGCGAAUCUCGGAAAGCCGGUCUCAGUUCGGAUUGGGGUCUGCAACUCGACCUCAUGAAGUCGGAGUCGCUAGUAAUCGCAGAUCAGCAACGCUGCGGUGAAUACGUUCCCGGGGCU
rnacentral:rRNA from 1 species